AUUUGUAUAGUUUAAUCAAAACAAUAUAUUUUCAAUAUAUAAAAAAUUUAUAAUUUACAAAUU
rnacentral:tRNA from 1 species